ACUAUGAAACUUUUUCAAGGUAUAUAAUUGUUGGCUCUUCAGACAUAUGAGAAAAGAACACUAGAGAUUUGUAUGCAACUACAGAAUGGAGAUCCAGUUCUCCUUACUGGCACAAUGAAUAAGAACCUUGAUCCCUUUAAUGAGCACUCGGAUGUGGACCUGUGGAAUGUUCUCCAAGAGAAAUCAAGAAGAAAAAUAUUCCCCGCAACUUCCAGGUUUCAAAAUGGCUGUGAUGACGUCACUUCCGGCAAACCUUGAUGACGUCACUUCCAGCCCCCACAAAUCAACUCACUUAUGGCCCAUCAGGAUGACGUUGUUUCUGGUUCCUGCUGCAGCGUCACACCAUGCAAACC